AGCAGGCGCGAAAACUUUGCAAUACACGAAAGUGUGACAGGGUCAUCCCGAGUGCCGACCGCUGAGGUUGGCUUUUACCCAGUCUAGAAAGCUGGGGGAAUAAGGAGAGGGCAAGUCUGGUGUCAGCCGCCGCGGUAAUACCAGCUCUCCGAGUGGUGUGGACGUUUAUUGGGCCUAAAGCAUCCGUAGCUGGCUGAACAAGUCCCCUGUUAAACCCACCGAUUUAAUCGUUGGUCUGCGGGGGAUACUGCUCGGCUAGGGGACGAGAGAGGCAGACGGUAUUCCCGGGGUAGGGGUGAAAUCCUAUAAUCCCGAGAAGACCACCAGUGGCGAAGGCUGUCUGCUAGAACGCGCCCGACGGUGAGGGAUGAAAGCUGGGGGAGCGAACCGGAUUAGAUACCCGGGUAGUCCCAGCUGUAAACGAUGCAGACUAGGUGUUUGGACGGCCACGUGCCGUUCUAGUGCCGCAGGGAAGCUGUUAAGUCUGCCGCCUGGGGAGUACGAUCGCAAGAUUGAAACUUAAAGGAAUUGGCGGGGGAGCAC
rnacentral:rRNA from 1 species